UACGAAGGGUGCAAACGUUGCUCGGAAUUAUUGGGCGUAAAGCGCACGUAGGCGGCUUUGCAAGUCGGAUGUGAAAUCCCUCGGCUUAACCAAGGAAGUGCAUCCGAAACUGCAGAGCUUGAGUACUUAAGAGGAUCGCGGAAUUCCCGGUGUAGAGGUGAAAUUCGUAGAUAUCGGGAGGAACACCAGUGGCGAGGGCGGCGAUCUGGGAAGAUACUGACGCUGAGGUGCGAAAGCGUGGGGAGCAAACAGG
rnacentral:rRNA from 1 species